rnacentral:sRNA from 1 species
UUAGGCUUUUGAGAAAGAGCUCAAUUUUUUUUGAAAAAUAAAUAAACAAGUGAAACAAAAAAAUAUUCAUAUAUAUUUGCAAUAAGAGAAAUACAAAAUAGCUAUGUAUCCUGCAACACGCACUGUGUCUACGAUGACAACUAAUACCGUUGUGGACUCCGGAACGGCCUUACACAAGUUCAACAUAUUGACAUAUAGCACAUCCACGCAGACAACUGCUGUAAAGGAUAUGCCGAAGCCGACCCCAAUGGCACCCAAGUUGGAGCAGACCCCAUCAAACAUGGAUGGGCUGACCACGCUCUUUACCGACCUCAAUGUGAUUGAGCCUCGCGUAACCACUAGGACAACUAGCACAUCAACCUAACUGGUUGCCUAUUGGGCCAGCACACACAGACCUGCAAAAGGAGCCAACAUACCUCAUAUCAACCUAAAAUACCCAAUAGGGCCUGUGGGUGUAUCUCACACAACAACAAUCUUCAUUCAGGACAAAUUCUAAAUCGAAAAUGGAUAUAAGUAACACUUCAAAAGCGACAUUAUCCAAAUUCUACACAAUGCUGGAGAAUAGUUAACAAUCUUCGUUAUUUAACUAAAUAGAAGCCCACUUACAAUUCGUUCAUACACCGAUAAAUCGCACAGAAAACCAACCCGAAAAUAAUUAUGAUGAAUCGUCGCCCCAGAUAUCAUCAAAUUAAUAACGGUUGCCAACGUACACACUUAAUCGGAAUGCAAUUGUCAAGGUUCAUGAGCUUAUCCAAAAUAUUAUUGUACGUUUCUUAACACGAAUCUCCGAAUCCGAAUCCGAAUCCGAAUCCGAAUCCUCAAAUUUAUGUCACUAGUGUGAAUUUAUAAAUAAAACUUUGACGAAUUAUUGAUAUGCCAAUCGAA